rnacentral:lncRNA from 1 species
GGCUCUGUGGCAGGGAGUGGGAGGGUGAUUAACAGGGGAAGAAUUAGGAAAGAGGACACGCAAGACCACAGUAAGAGAUGGAAAUAAGAGAAUAUUCCUGAUUUCCACUGGAUGACUUUGACUGGUAUGAUUUCAUUCUCUGAAAGUGUUAACCAGGGUGCAGCAUGGCCAGAAACCAUUCCGAGCCUCAUGAAGUGGGCAAGUCAGGUUUGGUCAUUUUUGGUAAUGUCAUUGCAUGUACACAGUUUAAGACAGAGCAUCUGGUGAUUCUCGGACCUUCAAGCAAGUGUCACAUCUCAGGUGAACCUUGGCAGUUUUAAGAUGAACAAAGUAAUCAAAGCAAAAAUGUCAAAUAAUAAUAAUAAUAAUGAUAUCAGAAGAAUGUCCAGUGCCAUGGUUGGAUUCCCAGAAGGCAGCAUCUGCUCAUGCCAUCAACAACAUGGUGCCAUUUCAGUCAUCCUCUUUUUGUCCCAAAGACAGAAAAAAAAUAGAAAAAAGAAAGAGAAAAAGACACCACGAACCGUCUAUCCUCCUGGUAAUACAAAUACACCUGUAAAUAAACAUGUCAAUGUCUACACACAACGCACAUUUAUGCAGAAUCCAUCCUCUCGGUGCUUCCGUAGUUAUCAAGUAAAAGUCCUUCUAAGCCUAAGAAAUGAUAGUAUUAAUUCAGUCUUGGGGUGUGGGGGGAAAGGUGGACUAUCAUCAAAUAAAAAAGGCGAGGCUAAUUAAGUGACAUCCACUGGGGACUGGGAAAAGAAGAGACUUCUUGUGGGAAAGUAAUUAUAUCUUCAUUGACCCUCCUGGGGUACCCCCAGUGGCAGGGACUCUGCCUCGCGGUGUGACAUCUCCUUUCGGGAUGAGCAGCCAGUCACCUCGAGAAGCCCCCUUCUCCAUGGAUGCGUUUUCUAAUCAUUUCACAUGAUUGAGCCUCCAGCAAGUGAUGCUUUACUUAAUUCCUUUCCGCCUGUAGGGUGUGAGGUUUGGAGGGCCUCUCGUCAAAACUUUGGAGGGCUCUGUCAGUUUGAAAAGAACAUGACCUUUAAAUUGUAUCAGUAUGUUUGCUGGUGCAUAAGGGAGAGGAAAAGGUUCGUCCUGAUGGAAAACCACUCAGAAGCCAAGGAGUAAUUCAGAGGGAACCAGCCCAGGAAGAAUCAAGAAAGCUGCCCACAGUGUCAUUCUUCAGCUGAGAAAAGAGAGAGUUGACUAACUCCUCGGACUGGAGUGAGGACUCACAGAGGUGGUGAGAAGCCAUCCUCUCUUGAAUGGGGGCUCCCACUGUACAUCUGGCACCCACUUCACAGAUUCUGGGGGAUGUCAACACCAGCACUGCUGAGCUGUGUGACCUUGAGCAAGACAGUUAGCCUCUCUGAACCUCAGUGUCCUUCUCUGUAGGCUGGAGAUUGAUAUACCUUCAUUAUCGGGGUAUGAGAGUGUUAUAAGGUGGGAUGGUGGAACACGCUGACUGGUCUGGGCUAUUCAAGAUCCAUGAACUGGAAGAUGCUUUCUUAUAACUCAGAGAAAAGAGAUGAAAAUGAAUCAAAGAACAGGAAGGAGACAAGCUCAGGAGAGUCACCCUAAGAAGGAUGUGUGGAAGACUUGACUGGAGGAUCAAAAUGUGUCGGGGGAAGGUGUACAAGGAGGAGUAAGGACACAGAUGUCCUGACUUCACACAGUGGGGGAUUAGAAGCCACCAUCAAACACAGAUGAAACAGGAAUAAAAGUAGUAGUACAUUACUUAAGCUUUAAAAGGGUAAGACUCCUGGGAAUUUGGAAGCUGAGACUUGAGGCAAGUAUUUAGGAUUUGCUGUCUCACCUCCCUGCUAUGACAGUCCUUAAUUAAUGGAGAUGAUGGAGAACAGCUUGCUGGGCUGAGUGGCAGGAGCCAUGCAGCUGCUGGGGCUGGAGUGGGUCAGGAAGCUUCAUCAAUCUGGGACACAUGACGUGCUUGGUGGUGGCGGAGCCUGACGCAUCCCUCUUCAUCGACAUUGUGUCAAUAGGAGCAGAGGCAUUUAGCUGUGUAAACACAGAGCUUCAGUGGCAGCACCCUAAAUGCUUAGCUGAUAGAUCCGGAAUUAAAUACAGACCUAGAAACUGGAGUUGGAAAACUUCCUGGCAGCACUCCUUCCCUGCCAUCCCGGUGAUCCCCUUCUGGAUGGAGGGUGUGGAGCUCAGCACAUUCACGUCUGCAGUUCUCAGAGAACCAAGUGUUAAGGAAUGUCAGGGAAGGAAGAAGGCAGCCAGCCAGGAAGGGGAGGUCCUGGCCUGAGCACGCCAGGCACAGAGGGAUAGAGGGUAGGGAGGAAACUGCACCUGUCUCCAACCCUCGACCCCAGCCCCGAAACACGACAUUGGCUGAAACAGAUUAAAAGCAUAAAAUGGCCCAAAGAAAUGGGAGAAGGUUGGCCUCUGGUCGGGCAAACAUGAGGGCAUGAAGAUAUAUAAUGUCCCACACGGGAGGAAACCCUUGCCGGGCCCCUCAGGAUUUAUAACAAGCUCACCUGAAGGAGAAACUUCAGGGGCACUUACACCAUCAGAUACCUAGAAAGGAGCUGUCAUUUCCUCACUGAAGAGUUUGCAAGCAGAUGGAAAAUGUGUGUCUGGAUCAUCUUGUGGCCCGAAUGGGGAGAAAAGCAGCACAAGAAUGGAAUAGUACAGUGGCUACGAACACAGAAACCACACUCCAGGCCCAGUCCCCGGCAGUGGCCUCCAGGACCCACUCUGAGCUAGAUCACAUCAGUGAUGGGCUGGCCAAUCUUUAAGGAGAAUGACUCUACUCUUAGGAAGCCAGCAGGUUGGAGGAGGAAACACAUUCAAAUCCCGAGCACAAGGAGCUGGGAGAAGACCGGUUAUGGGAGCGGCAUUCCUGGAAGCUCUGAAGUCACAGCCCCACUGAUGAAAGGAUGUAAGAACCUAAGAGUGGAAACCUGCCCCUGGGAUUCAUAUGGUGUCCCCUCAGGACUCAAACCCUGGUCUGGUAUGCUCAGUAAAUGAAUGAAUAUACCCACUACACCCCAGGUUAUUUUUUUUCUGAAGACAUCGUUUGACACAGAGGGAACACUGUAGAUAAGAAGCCCAACCCUGUUAGAAAGCAGAAGGGUUUGUUUGGGAAAAGGAAACAAAAUAUAUUUUUAAGCUCCAUAAACAUAUGAUGAAUGCUAACAAGGUAUUUUCAAAAUAAGAAGCACAUAGAAACAGCUUAUGUUUCUGGUCAAAUGAAGUUGUAAUCAAAUCGUUAUCAAAGCAAAAAAAAAGAGAGGAAGAAAUCAAAAUGAGUCAGAAGAGUUUUUGGAAAGAUUCAGCAACUUAACUGACUUGAAGAGAUUUCCCUUGUCUCAGUCUUACUGCUGCUUCUAGGGGAACACAGUUUUGCACGGGAAUCGAGGCCAACUUGCAACCCACAGGCACUCUGGAGGAACAAAGAAAGUAUCGCCUGCAACUCACCACGGUCUCUCUCUCUUAAGCCCUUGCUCUUGCCAGAAGAAGUUUCACACAAAGGUUUGCCUGCGAGGCUGCGCUUUCCUCUCCAGAUCAGCAGAAACAACUUACCAGCAGAAAUACUUAAUGACGGAGCCAAGACUGGCACAGCCACGCGGUCACAGCUUUGUUCCCAAGAAGCAAGCCAAUUAGCAGCCCUGGUUAUUAUUUACAUUUCCCGCAAUAUAUCACUAAAAUUGUGUUGAUGAUUUAUCAUUUAUAUUAUGUUAUUGUCAGCAUAAUUUAUUCAGAUCAUGCUGAGAUACCUGGAAAAUUAAGUAAAAGAAAAAGAAGUGGCAUUGAAUUCAUCGGGUUUGAAAGAUAUUUCUCAGCUUCUUUUUUCUCUCCCUCUCUUUCUCUCUCUCUCUCUCUUUUAAUGAGGAUAGAUGUUAAGAAAAAUCAUGGAUCACUUAGCUAUUAAAUUGUUCCAGGAUCAUCUGCAUUAAAAGUUUGCUCAGUAUUCUUUUGUGAGAGAACAUGGCUUGGGCGUUCAUUUGGAUUUUCUUCUGGAACCUUUUCUUUCAGUCUAUUAUUUCAAAGUAAAAAAAAAAGGAAAUGCAAUCCUCUUUAGUUUAGAGCAAAGCAGAGUGGAUUAAUGAGGGGCUGGAGGCUUCUCUUCCAAUUUAUAAAACAUCCUUAUCUUCUGCCUUAUAUUCUAUUUGCCCCACCCUCUGGGAAAUAAUUGUUGCUUAUCAGAAUUAGAGAUAAAAUAUUCCAGUUGUUGAAGCCAUUCAUCAUCUAGGCAUUCUAGAAAAGCAGUUACUGAACUAGAGGCAGCAUUUUGAGCAUCAGAGCUCUGGGUUCUAGUCCCAGGUCUGUCCAGGCUUUGUGUGAUUCCAGGAGUCACUGAAGCUAUCCUGCUUCUGUUUCCCCAGCAGUGGGAUUCAUGGAUGUCCAGGAUCAGGCUUGCUGGGUCUGCCCCAGGUCUUCAGAAUCAGACUGCCUGGGGAAGGCACAUGGAGGUCUUUUUGACAGGUGUCAUAGGUGAUACUUCUACACACUUCAGUUAGAAAAGUCAUUGGGCUUACAUAUGCCUGCAGCCACUUCCAGCUCCAGUCUUCCUAGAGUUCUACGGACUCUAAUUAUAUGGCAUGUUUUGCAUAUUUCUGAAACUUCAUAUGGGAAACAAACUUUUGGAAAUUGAUUCAUUUAAGAAUCUGUGGCCAGGCGUGGUGGCUCACGACUGUAAUCCCAGCACUUUGGGAGGCUGA